rnacentral:rRNA from 1 species
CUGUGAGCUCGAUGAGUAGGGCGGGACACGUGGUAUCCUGUCUGAAUAUGGGGGGACCAUCCUCCAAGGCUAAAUACUCCUGACUGACCGAUAGUGAACCAGUACCGUGAGGGAAAGGCGAAAAGAACCCCGGCGAGGGGAGUGAAAAAGAACCUGAAACCGUGUACGUACAAGCAGUGGGAGCACAGAGCAAUCUGUGUGACUGCGUACCUUUUGUAUAAUGGGUCAGCGACUUAUAUUCUGUAGCAAGGUUAACCGAAUAGGGGAGCCGAAGGGAAACCGAGUCUUAACUGGGCGUUAAGUUGCAGGGUAUAGACCCGAAACCCGGUGAUCUAGCCAUGGGCAGGUUGAAGGUUGGGUAACACUAACUGGAGGACCGAACCGACUAAUGUUGAAAAAUUAGCGGAUGACUUGUGGCUGGGGGUGAAAGGCCAAUCAAACCGGGAGAUAGCUGGUUCUCCCCGAAAGCUAUUUAGGUAGCGCCUCGUGAAUUCAUCUCCGGGGGUAGAGCACUGUUUCGGCAAGGGGGUCAUCCCGACUUACCAACCCGAUGCAAACUGCGAAUACCGGAGAAUGUUAUCACGGGAGACACACGGCGGGUGCUAACGUCCGUCGUGAAGAGGGAAACAACCCAGACCGCCAGCUAAGGUCCCAAAGUCAUGGUUAAGUGGGAAACGAUGUGGGAAGGCCCAGACAGCCAGGAUGUUGGCUUAGAAGCAGCCAUCAUUUAAAGAAAGCGUAAUAGCUCACUGGUCGAGUCGGCCUGCGCGGAAGAUGUAACGGGGCUAAACCAUGCACCGAAGCUGCGGCAGCGACACUUAUGUGUUGUUGGGUAGGGGAGCGUUCUGUAAGCCUGUGAAGGUGUACUGUGAGGUAUGCUGGAGGUAUCAGAAGUGCGAAUGCUGACAUAAGUAACGAUAAAGCGGGUGAAAAGCCCGCUCGCCGGAAGACCAAGGGUUCCUGUCCAACGUUAAUCGGGGCAGGGUGAGUCGACCCCUAAGGCGAGGCCGAAAGGCGUAGUCGAUGGGAAACAGGUUAAUAUUCCUGUACUUGGUGUUACUGCGAAGGGGGGACGGAGAAGGCUAUGUUGGCCGGGCGACGGUUGUCCCGGUUUAAGCGUGUAGGCUGGUUUUCCAGGCAAAUCCGGAAAAUCAAGGCUGAGGCGUGAUGACGAGGCACUACGGUGCUGAAGCAACAAAUGCCCUGCUUCCAGGAAAAGCCUCUAAGCAUCAGGUAACAUCAAAUCGUACCCCAAACCGACACAGGUGGUCAGGUAGAGAAUACCAAGGCGCUUGAGAGAACUCGGGUGAAGGAACUAGGCAAAAUGGUGCCGUAACUUCGGGAGAAGGCACGCUGAUAUGUAGGUGAAGUCCCUCGCGGAUGGAGCUGAAAUCAGUCGAAGAUACCAGCUGGCUGCAACUGUUUAUUAAAAACACAGCACUGUGCAAACACGAAAGUGGACGUAUACGGUGUGACGCCUGCCCGGUGCCGGAAGGUUAAUUGAUGGGGUCAGCGCAAGCGAAGCUCUUGAUCGAAGCCCCGGUAAACGGCGGCCGUAACUAUAACGGUCCUAAGGUAGCGAAAUUCCUUGUCGGGUAAGUUCCGACCUGCACGAAUGGCGUAAUGAUGGCCAGGCUGUCUCCACCCGAGACUCAGUGAAAUUGAACUCGCUGUGAAGAUGCAGUGUACCCGCGGCAAGACGGAAAGACCCCGUGAACCUUUACUAUAGCUUGACACUGAACAUUGAGCCUUGAUGUGUAGGAUAGGUGGGAGGCUUUGAAGUGUGGACGCCAGUCUGCAUGGAGCCGACCUUGAAAUACCACCCUUUAAUGUUUGAUGUUCUAACGUUGACCCGUAAUCCGGGUUGCGGACAGUGUCUGGUGGGUAGUUUGACUGGGGCGGUCUCCUCCUAAAGAGUAACGGAGGAGCACGAAGGUUGGCUAAUCCUGGUCGGACAUCAGGAGGUUAGUGCAAUGGCAUAAGCCAGCUUGACUGCGAGCGUGACGGCGCGAGCAGGUGCGAAAGCAGGUCAUAGUGAUCCGGUGGUUCUGAAUGGAAGGGCCAUCGCUCAACGGAUAAAAGGUACUCCGGGGAUAACAGGCUGAUACCGCCCAAGAGUUCAUAUCGACGGCGGUGUUUGGCACCUCGAUGUCGGCUCAUCACAUCCUGGGGCUGAAGUAGGUCCCAAGGGUAUGGCUGUUCGCCAUUUAAAGUGGUACGCGAGCUGGGUUUAGAACGUCGUGAGACAGUUCGGUCCCUAUCUGCCGUGGGCGCUGGAGAACUGAGGGGGGCUGCUCCUAGUACGAGAGGACCGGAGUGGACGCAUCACUGGUGUUCGGGUUGUCAUGCCAAUGGCACUGCCCGGUAGCUAAAUGCGGAAGAGAUAAGUGCUGAAAGCAUCUAAGCACGAAACUUGCCCCGAGAUGAGUUCUCCCUGACUCCUUGAGAGUCCUGAAGGAACGUUGAAGACGACGACGUUGAUAGGCCGG